GAAGGACGGUACUAACACCGAUAUGCCUCGGGGAGCUGUAAGUAAGCUUUGAUCCGGGGAUUUCCGAAUGGGGGAACCCAACUUGUUAUGCAAGUUAUCACUAGUUGAAUCUAUAGACUAGUUGAAGGUAGACGCUGUGAACUGAAACAUCUCAUUAGCAGCAGGAGUAGAAAGAAAAAUCGAUUCCGUCAGUAGCGGCGAGCGAACGCGGAAGAGCCCAAACCAAAGUGCUUGCACUUUGGGGUUGUAGGACUACCGUUGUGGAGUUACAAAAUUGUAUGUUAGUUGAAGUGGUUGGGAAGCCACGCGAGACAAGGUGAUAGCCCUGUAAACGAAAGCAUGCAAUCUCCCGUGUAGGAUCCUGAGUACGGCCGGACACGUGAAAUCCGGUCGGAAUCUGGGAGGACCAUCUCCCAAGGCUAAAUACUACCUAGUGACCGAUAGUGAACCAGUACCGUGAGGGAAAGG
rnacentral:rRNA from 1 species